UGGCCUACGGGAGGCAGCAGUGGGGAAUAUUGCACAAUGGGGGAAACCCUGAUGCAGCGACGCCGCGUGAGUGAAGAAGUAUUUCGGUACGUAAAGCUCUAUCAGCAGGGAAGAAAAAAAGUCCUUUGGACUUUGGACGGUACCUGACUAAGAAGCCCCGGCUAACUACGUGCCAGCAGCCGCGGUAAUACGUAGGGGGCGAGCGUUGUCCGGAAUCACUGGGCGUAAAGGGCGCGUAGGCGGUAAUAUAAGUCAGAUGUGAAAGGUGGGGGCUCAACCCCUAGAGUGCAACUGAUACUGUAUAA
rnacentral:rRNA from 1 species